UCAUGCAGUGAACACGAGUGUACCACAUCCUAAAACUGCCUAAGCCACCCCACUUCCUGUUUUGCUCUCACUUCAAACUGCUUUCAUCUUUAGCACACCCUGGUGAAGUUGCAGGACCACUCUCAGAAUAAGGACAUCAUGGAGUGUAACACAACACACAGCUUAGAUACAACAGCACAGCCAAUGAAGCUGGCUAAUGGAAGAGUGGUCAUCAUAGAUCCAAAUGGCAGCGAACAGAUUCCUAGUAAUGUAAUGCACUAUAUACAAUCUGGAAGCCAACAGUAUGGAAGUCCAGGUGGACAACCUCAGCAGAACUCUCUUGUUAGGGCACUGGAGAAGUUAAUUAAACUAGAAGCCAAGACUCUGGGGGCCUUACAGAUCAUGAUUGGACUGAUACACAUUGGCCUUGGAAUCAUCUCAGGAAUUAUUGGAAUUGGUCACUACAUUUCUGUUGCAUUUUAUCCAGUGUACAGUGGACUGGGUUUUAUUGCUUCUGGAUCUGUGUCCAUCUCAGCUCAAAAACAUUGGAAUACUAGAUUGAUGAAUACCAGUGUGGGAAUGAACAUCUUAAGUGCUUUCCUGGCAUCCAGUGGCAUUGUUGCAUAUAUAUGUGAAUUAGCUAUAAAUCUAAAUGUUUCAAAACUAUAUGGUGUUUCCCCAUCAUACAUGUCAGUAGGUGUUGGCUUCUCUGUGCUAUUCCUCCUGUUCAGUUCACUAGAGUUCUGCAUUACUGUUAUAGUGGCACAUUUUGGGUGCCAGAGAAACUGCUGCACAGAUGAUACAGCCAUUGUUUAUGUGCCUUGCACUGCCACUGGAGAGAAUUUAGCUCCCACUGAAGACAAUAUGGCUUCCCAGACCGUUUAAUAAAAAAAAUGGAAGAAAUUAUGGAAGAUACCAAGCAUGCAGUCUUAGUGCACCCUAUUCUGUCCUCUGCUCUAUUUUCCUCAGACAUAGUUUGUGAGCCCUGCACUGGAGUGUGGCUCCCACUAGAAACAAUACUGUUCUUCCAAUCUGAGAUCGUAUGGCACUUUCUUGACAGAGGGGCUUCAUGGAGAACCACAAUGUAGAAGAUAUCAUGGCAACCUACCUAUUCCUGAAGUGCUGGGGAAGUUCUUUUUCAGGACAAAUCGGUGGCUUAAAGAAUAACUAAGUAUCACCAUGUACCUCCUAAUACUUCUUUCCUCCAAAAUGUGUCAUCUUCUCUCUUUUUAACUGUUCAGUGAAAACUAGGAUCACUAACAAACAUGUAGUUUGAGUUCAACCACCACCCUAAGGCAUUACAUGAUUAACCCUUCAGAGUUAAUUGCUGAAAAAAUAUCCCAAGGGCUGAUGCCAUCUCAGCUGGAUUUUUAAGUGCUCUCACAACAAAACAACAGGGGAUUCCAUGUGAUUAAUUGUUUUUAUACGGCACUCAAUGUUCAAGGAGUAAUAUUUUAUUCCAUUUAAGUAUCUAAACAAAAAUGUCAAGGAAGAAGAAAAGGAAAGAAGCAAUAAGGGGCCAGAGCUUGAGAUAGCUACCGUUUUUGGAUUGCAACACUCAGAAUCCCCUUGGGAUCCUGAAUACUAGUCAGGUUGGCUGGAGUGUUCUGGAAAAAGGCAACAUUUUCAGGUUUUGUACUUGAUUAAUGUGAUAUGAAUUUUCCAACAUAAUCUCAGCAGGAGGAAGGAAAUCUGUGGCAUAUUUUGUAUAUCAGUGCCAAGGCAUGCUGAUAUGUAUGUGGCAAAGGCUAACAUUACUCCUCAGCUCCAUCUCUCUAGGUUUUCGUUAGUUAUUUUUUUAACCAACGAUCACCUAGGCAGGUAGAGAUGUUAAGUUGAGUUGAAUUGUAGUUAAACAUUGAGGCUAUACAGACUGACAAGCAACAUCGGCAUCGGGGUGGAGUGGGGGCAUGGCGAUCACAUGCCACCCACUCUGACUCCACCCUGAUGCUGGCAUCACACCUCCCACCCAACCAGGAGAUGGGUGGCAGCAUGACAUUUCUGCACCACAGCAUUUAGACACACUGUGCUGAAGAAAUAGGGGAAAGCUGCUGCUGCCACAAGGGCAGCUUUUUGCCAGCUCCAAAAGGAAUGGCUUUCUGUCACUUCUUUUUGGAGCCAGCAAAUCACCAGAAUGAGGCUGUGGAGUGCGAUUGCUUCAGCCCCGAUCCAGCGCUCAAAGAGGCAGUGGCAAGCCACUCCUUUGGGGCCAUCUGUUUAGCCCCUGUCUCAAAUUCCUUUUAGUAGGAGGCAUUACACGUUUACUAUAACAAUUUGCUCAAAUAUUCUGGGAAUAAUGACAGGCAUUUUGUUCAGUGAUUUUCAUGUUGAAAAUCUGCCUGUUUGUUUGUUUGUUUGUUUAAUUGAUAACUCACUUUUCUCCCAUAUGGGACACAGAGUGGAUCCUGAUAUAUGUUAAAACAAUAUAGCUGUAAACAAUACAAAAAAAUUAAAAGCAUUAAAUACAUUCCUCUUAAA